GAUGAACGCUGGCGGCGUGCCUAAUACAUGCAAGUCGAGCGAACGGACGAGAAGCUUGCUUUUCUGAUGUUAGCGGCGGACGGGUGAGUAACACGUGGAUAACCUACCUAUAAGACUGGGAUAACUUCGGGAAACCGGAGCUAAUACCGGAUAAUAUUUUGAACCGCAUGGUUCAAAAGUGAAAGACGGUCUUGCUGUCACUUAUAGAUGGAUCCGCGCUGCAUUAGCUAGUUGGUAAGGUAACGGCUUACCAAGGCAACGAUGCAUAGCCGACCUGAGAGGGUGAUCGGCCACACUGGAACUGAGACACGGUCCAGACUCCUACGGGAGGCAGCAGUAGGGAAUCUUCCGCAAUGGGCGAAAGCCUGACGGAGCAACGCCGCGUGAGUGAUGAAGGUCUUCGGAUCGUAAAACUCUGUUAUUAGGGAAGAACAUAUGUGUAAGUAACUGUGCACGUCUUGACGGUACCUAAUCAGAAAGCCACGGCUAACUACGUGCCAGCAGCCGCGGUAAUACGUAGGUGGCAAGCGUUAUCCGGAAUUAUUGGGCGUAAAGCGCGCGUAGGCGGUUUUUUAAGUCUGAUGUGAAAGCCCACGGCUCAACCGUGGAGGGUCAUUGGAAACUGGAAAACUUGAGUGCAGAAGAGGAAAGUGGAAUUCCAUGUGUAGCGGUGAAAUGCGCAGAGAUGUGGAGGAACACCAGUGGCGAAGGCGACUUUCUGGUCUGUAACUGACGCUGAUGUGCGAGAGCGUGGGGAUCAAACAGGAUUAGAUACCCUGGUAGUCCACGCCGUAAACGAUGAGUGCUAAGUGUUAGGGGGUUUCCGCCCCUUAGUGCUGCAGCUAACGCAUUAAGCACUCCGCCUGGGGAGUACGACCGCAAGGUUGAAACUCAAAGGAAUUGACGGGGGCCCGCACAAGCGGUGGAGCAUGUGGUUUAAUUCGAAGCAACGCGAAGAACCUUACCAAAUCUUGACAUCCUUUGACAACUCUAGAGAUAGAGCCUUCCCCUUCGGGGGACAAAGUGACAGGUGGUGCAUGGUUGUCGUCAGCUCGUGUCGUGAGAUGUUGGGUUAAGUCCCGCAACGAGCGCAACCCUUAAGCUUAGUUGCCAUCAUUAAGUUGGGCACUCUAAGUUGACUGCCGGUGACAAACCGGAGGAAGGUGGGGAUGACGUCAAAUCAUCAUGCCCCUUAUGAUUUGGGCUACACACGUGCUACAAUGGACAAUACAAAGGGCAGCGAAACCGUGAGGUCAAGCAAAUCCCAUAAAGUUGUUCUCAGUUCGGAUUGUAGUCUGCAACUCGACUACAUGAAGCUGGAAUCGCUAGUAAUCGUAGAUCAGCAUGCUACGGUGAAUACGUUCCCGGGUCU
rnacentral:rRNA from 1 species